GUUUUAAAUCAUUCUUUGUGUAUUUACAAUACAAUCAGAAACUUUAUUGAGAGUUGCAAAGUCAUAAAGACAACAUAGAAAUAACAGAAGCUAUUAUGUUUAUUGUGCUAAACAGACUGUGGUAAUCCAUUUUAAGAAAAACGGUCAGCAAGCAAGCAAGCAUUCAAGAAGUACAAUCACAGACAAGGAGUCUAUGCAGGGAGCAAGGCAAAGCUAUAAUACACUCAAAGAUGAGAAUUAAAAGCAAACUUCGGUUAAGCAUUUUGAUACUUUCUGUCCUGCACACCUCACGCUCGAUGCAGGAAUAUCAAGAAAGUAAAAUGUCCAGUCUUAUUUAGCAGUGACCUGUCAACAGCAAAGAACAGUCUUAUAAAAUUUAUCUCCCACAAAAAAUAAACUAUAUGUAUAAAAAUUUAUAAUGUUCUUUCUGUUGGCAUGGCCACAAGCUGCUUUUAUUCAGUCAGAGGAAACACAAAACAAAUCAAAAAAACAAGACAAAUGAGGUAUAGCAAACCCUAAGAGGUAGUAAUGUGUUUUUCUGAUUGUACUAAAAUAUAUAGAAAAUAAACAUGAUUAAGUUCAGAGCCGUGAGCCUCUCAGUGCUUAAUGUCAGAGUAACAUUCUUCCCCCUUGAAAUAUCCACUUUAGAUAUGCCACAUAGCUUGUACUGGCAGGUAUAAUCAUUGCCAAUAAUAACAAAUUGCAUACUUUAAAUUUAAUUCAAAGUAAUUGUAGCUUUAUACAAAAGCAAAAAACAUGACGAUGGUCAUAUAACCAUGUCCGAACACAAAUGUAAUUGAAAAAUCAAAUUUCAAAUUAUUCAAGAAACUGUGCUGCACCAAUUACAAAUCUAUACAUUUUUUUUUUUUUUUUAAAUCAAUCGCCUCUCUCCUCAAAUUUUCUGGCAUGAACAAAACAGGCCAAUAGCAGCAAAACAGUUUGAAAUAAAGUCUUAACAUUUUAUCGGAAAAAAGUUUUCUCAUUGCGAUUACACUGACAAAAGCAUUUCUGAAGAACUCUCUCUGAUUCAGAUAUUAAUACAUUGUUAAUGUGUGUAGAUACUGGCUAUAAAAACAAAACAAAAAUCUACUUGAGCAUUUAAAAUAAAUCUGAAUGAAACUCAAUAUAUAUAUAUAUUUAUAUAAAAAAAAAAAUCAUCACAUUGUGUAAAAUACAUGAAAAUGUCAAAUGCAUGUCAAUUCCCUCCAUUUAAAACACAUACUUUUGAUUGCAUUUGCAAGAGCAAACAUUGCAUUUUCCCCACCAACAAUGUUUCAAGUUUCUUUGCAGGAUCGUACUAGUGGGCAUUCAGACCCAUAUCUAAUAGGGUAUCUAAUGCAAGCACCGCUCAGUAAAAACAGAAAUACAAGUGCUUUUUAUGGUGUCCUACAGAAAUACUUGGACUCUGUUCACCCUAGAUUGAGCAGACUAGCACAAAAAUGUUAAAGGGAUACAAGAUGUCAUUAAAGGAACACUAUAGGCAAAAAACAAACAAAAAAAAUCAUCAACUUUAGCUUAAUGAAGCCGUUUGGGUACAUAGAUUAUACCCCUGCAGUCUCGCUGAUCAAUUACUUGCCAUUUAGGAGUUAAAUCAUUUUUGUUUCUGUUAAUAUAGCCCUAGCCACACAUCCUUUGGCUGUGACUCUCACAGCCUGCAUAUAUAAAUGGUUACAUUUCCAGUCAGAUGUUAACAGACUUUAGAUGUUUUUAUCUCAUGCUCUGUAAAUUAAAUGUAAUAACACGCUGGAGGCUCCUGUAGGCUCUAAAAGACUAAUAACAGAGCAGGAGAUAUUCUAAAUUAAACCGAAAGUGCAAUAAAGAAUCUAAAAUAUCCAGGUUCCUUUUCAGGAAGGCACAUACUAUGAGGUAUCAUUUGGACUGUGCAAACAAAGUGAUAAUUCCUAAAUGGCUGAGGAUUGAGCAAUGAGCCUGCAGGGACAUGGCUUAUACAACAAAAAUUAAGCUAAAGUUGUUGUACCUAUAUUAUCCCUUUAGGCAUCUAUAGUUCCUAUAAAGUUUCUUACUUUUAUGUCACAUUUCCAAUACUCAAAGCUCCCAAACUAUAGCAACUAUAGUUUUAUAUAUUGUAUGUCAUGACGGUCUUCUAAAAAAACAAAAACAAAAAAACACAACAUGACAAACAGAAAUGAAACAAUUCCCUUUUAAGCAUUUGAAUGCUGAACUGCUCACAGAGGGAACAUGACUUGGAACAGGGAUUAAAUGCAGUCCUAAAAUGAAAUGAGCAUUUCUAUAAA